rnacentral:snoRNA from 1 species
AAUUCCCUUUUUUGUGUCUUAUGAUGAAGCUUCAUAGGGCAGAUUCUGAGGUGAGAAUUUCUCUCCACUGAUACUCUCUCUAUGCCAUCUGAAGACACUGCAUGCUGU